rnacentral:rRNA from 1 species
UACGGAGGUGGCAAGCGUUGCUCGGAAUCACUGGGCGUAAAGGGCGCGUAGGCGGGGAGGUAAGUCGGGUGUGAAAUCCCUCGGCCCAACCGAGGAACUGCGCCCGAGACUGCUUCUCUUGAGUCCCGGAGAGGAAGAUGGGAUUCCCGGUGUAGCGGUGAAAUGUGUAGAGAUCGGGAGGAACACCGGUGGCGAAGGCGGUCUUCUGGACGGUGACUGACGCUGAGGCGCGAAAGCGUGGGGAGCAAACGGG